rnacentral:rRNA from 1 species
CCUACGGGUGGCAGCAGUGGGGAAUAUUGCACAAUGGGGGAAACCCUGAUGCAGCGACGCCGCGUGAGUGAAGAAGUAUUUCGGUAUGUAAAGCUCUAUCAGCAGGGAAGAAGCAAGACGGUACCUGACUAAGAAGCACCGGCUAACUACGUGCCAGCAGCCGCGGUAAUCCGUAGGGGGCAAGCGUUAUCCGGAUUUACUGGGUGGAAAGGGAGCGUAGACGGUAUGGCAAGUCUGAAGUGAAAGCCCAGGGCUUAACCCUGGGCCUGCUUUGGAAACUGUUAGACUAGAGUGCAGGAGAGGUAAGUGGAAUUCCUAGUGUAGCGGUGAAAUGCGUAGAUAUUAGGAGGAACACCAGUGGCGAAGGCGGCUUGCUGGACAGUAACUGACGUUGAGGCUCGAAAGCGUGGGGAGCAAACAGGAUUAGAUACCCCAGUAGUC